UGCAGUCGAGCGGUAGCACAGAGAGCUUGCUCUUGGGUGACGAGCGGCGGACGGGUGAGUAACGCGUAGAAAUCUACCCGGUAGUUGGGGAUAGCCCGGAGAAAUCCGGAUUAAUACCGAAUAAUCUCUGAGGAGGAAAGUGGGGGACCUUUCGGGGCCUCACGCUAUUGGAUGAGUCUGCGUCGGAUUAGCUAGUUGGUGGGGUAAAGGCCUACCAAGGCGACGAUCCGUAGCUGGUCUGAGAGGAUGAUCAGCCACACUGGGACUGAGACACGGCCCAGACUCCUACGGGAGGCAGCAGUGGGGAAUAUUGGACAAUGGGGGCAACCCUGAUCCAGCCAUGCCGCGUGUGUGAAGAAGGCUUUCGGGUUGUAAAGCACUUUCAGUGGUGAGGAAGGGUGUGUUGUUAAUAGCGACAUACAUUGACGUUAGCCACAGAAGAAGCACCGGCUAACUCCGUGCCAGCAGCCGCGGUAAUACGGAGGGUGCGAGCGUUAAUCGGAAUUACUGGGCGUAAAGCGCGCGUAGGCGGUGUGUUAAGUGAGAUGUGAAAUCCCCGGGCUCAACCUGGGAAUUGCCUCUUAUACUGGCACGCUAGAGUAUGGCAGAGGUGAGUAGAAUUCCCGGUGUAGCGGUGAAAUGCGUAGAGAUCGGGAGGAAUACCAGUGGCG
rnacentral:rRNA from 1 species